rnacentral:rRNA from 1 species
GACGAACGCUGGCGGCGUGCCUAAUACAUGCAAGUCGUGCGGCUUGAGAGGAGCUUGCUCCUCGAUGGCAGCGGCGGACGGGUGAGUAACACGUGGGCAAUCUGCCCGGCAGACCGGGAUAACGCUUGGAAACGAGUGCUAAUACCGGAUAGGCUCUUGGAUCGCAUGGUUUAAGAGGGAAAGCUGCUUUUGCAGCACUGUCGGAUGAGCCCGCGGCGCAUUAGCUAGUUGGUGAGGUAACGGCUCACCAAGGCGACGAUGCGUAGCCGACCUGAGAGGGUGACCGGCCACACUGGGACUGAGACACGGCCCAGACUCCUACGGGAGGCUG